AGGAAGGUGGGGAUGACGUCAAGUCAUCAUGGCCCUUACGGCCUGGGCUACACACGUGCUACAAUGGUCGGUACAAAGGGUUGCCAAGCCGCGAGGUGGAGCUAAUCCCAUAAAACCGAUCGUAGUCCGGAUCGCAGUCUGCAACUCGACUGCGUGAAGUCGGAAUCGCUAGUAAUCGCGCACCAGCCAUGGCGCGGUGAAUACGUUCCCGGGCCUU
rnacentral:rRNA from 1 species